UGAUAGUGUGUCAUAUUGUUUCUCUCAUUAUGUAAAAUCAUUCGCUUGGAAGACCAUCACGUAUGGAUGAGUUUUUUGAGCACACUCAUACUCGUAAAGAGGAUAGGACUCAAUGGGUUGAUGAACACUCCCGAAAGACAAAGGAUAUAUUUCAAGAGCGUAUGUUUCAGGCUAAGCAAGAGCGGUAGGCUGCUAUAGAGGCUGGUGUAACUGGUCCACCGCCUGUCUCUAAGGAAAGCAUAUGGAUUGAGACAGUGGGUGGAAAAUGAAGAGGUAGGGUAUAUGGUAUGGGUGAGGUAAGGGACUCUUCCAUGGUGCGGCCUUGAGUUGAUGGGCCAACCACGACCACCAGCACUAAUGUUUUGGAUCUUAGAGAACGAAUCAUAAUACUCAAUAGGAAAGUUGAACAACAUGCCGCUAAAUAUAGAGAGCUUGAAGACCGCUACCAAAGGGAGAAAAGAGAGUGGCAAUAGACAGUUGAAUCCUUGCGUGAGGAUCUCAACACCAGUAACUCACAGAUGGAUCAGUUUAGUCAUCAAUUGAGCAGCUUGACUGAGUAUGUGAGGGCCAUGGGUCCUAGUAGUUCUGGAUCACGUGUUCCCCCACCUCCUCCUUUUACUUUUCCAAGCUCUCAGAAAAGCACAGCUCCAGCC